rnacentral:rRNA from 1 species
UACAGAGGUCUCAAGCGUUGUUCGGAUUCAUUGGGCGUAAAGGGUGCGUAGGCGGCGCGGUAAGUCGGGUGUGAAAUCUCGGAGCUUAACUCCGAAACUGCAUUCGAUACUGCCGUGCUUGAGGACUGGAGAGGAGACUGGAAUUUACGGUGUAGCGGUGAAAUGCGUAGAUGUCGUAAGGAAGACCAGUGGCGAAGGCGGGUCUCUGGACAGUUCCUGACGCUGAGGCACGAAGGCCAGGGGAGCAAACGGG